UGGGCUUGUAGCUCAGUGGAUUAGAGCACGUGGCUACGAACCACGGUGUCGGGGGUUCGAAUCCCUUCUUGCCCGG
rnacentral:tRNA from 2 species